CAACAGCACCAUCACCCUAACUGUAAAAGACCACAGCAACACUGUUGCUGAAUGUGUCAGCAGAAGUGAAAUUGGGGAAGUACAACACAAAGUCACUAUCGUAACUUCAGAGAGGCGGGAAGGUGAACACACUCAUAACUAAUCACUGAUAUCAAUAAGAAUGUUUUGUUGAAUUUAAAGUACAAUUUGUUGAGCUGAUUCUAUGAAGAUGUGGAUCAUGUUGAACAUUUUAAAAUAAAUAAUAAAAUCCAGUAGAGUACAUGUCAUUUUGCAUGGUUGUUAUGGCCUUCAGCUGUAAUAGAAACCACACUAUCGGCUAUCAUUUAAAUAUUUUUGAGUAAUUCCAUUUAUAGAUUCAUGUCAUUUUUGGUAUAAUUUACAGCCAACACCGCUUAAAUGGGAGUGUAUAGUUCACACAGUAGCCAUUAAGUGUACGGCUUUAAUACCACUUGAAGAGUCAUACAAUCUACAUGAUGUCAUUUGUAAUAGCAGAUCAACACGGACCAUGUGCAGAACUUCCCUGGAUCAUCGUUGCUGUUGUUUCUCUCAUUGUGAAUGUCAUCUGCAUAAUCCUCUUGAUGUUCCGUUGGAACACAAGGAAAAAGGUGAAACCAAACCAAGAGGACAGAACUUACAUGUCACUGCGGAAAACAGACCAAUCACCAGAGUAUGACGUUAUUGCUCGACCUCUGAACUAACAAGUGUCAGCUCCACUGAGUGUAGAACAAGAUGGUACUUCCAUACUUCCAUUCAACAUGCGUAGAACUUUAUGAAUAUGGCAUUUCUUAGAGUUCGUUUUUAAUUUAACUGUAACUUAUAUCUUGCUUUAUACAGUAUUAUUAUUUUUUUGUUUCCAUUUCAUGAACCUUUAUGAAGGUCCACUGAACAUUUAAUAGGGCCGAUGUUUAUGAGUUCAUUUAAGUAUUGAGUUGUUGUAUUUGCCUGUUUAUAGUUGUUUUUUGUCAACUUCAUGAAGAUGCUUUUUUAUUGUCUUGUGUUAUGUUUACUUGCGUGAGUUUUCUUGCUGCAGUGCGCUGAACCCUCAGGGCCACCGUAUUUUAGAGAGCAGUCACGUCAGGCAGGUACCUGAAGGUGAAGUUGGGAUCCGUUGAUCAGUAACUUCAGGUGGAUGUUUAGAGAACUUUGAGGGGAAACAAGUGUGGCUUUUUCACAAAACUUGAACUGAAAAUUGAUGAAAAACAGCAACGUCGUUCUAAUAAACAAGUUAUGAUAGUUACAGAAGUGUCUGUAUUGUUGAUGUUAUCAGUUACGUGUUUUUGUAUUUUAGCCAAAAUGGAGCAUCUGUGUUGGACGGAUAAAAGCCCAGUUGGAUUUCAUUUGACAUGGUUAAUGGACAUUUUGCCAAGGUGAAAAACAGCUCGCAGUUCUUCAGACACCGCUAGUUAAACAAACACCCACUUUACUGAAGCUUCACUGAUGGGAAAAUAAAUCCAGUUUAGCUAAUGCCAGGAACAUAUGCCGUCAGAAAGAAUCAUUUCACCCGUGCAGCCACUGAUGAGGAGAUUCUCAAACACGCUAUUAGGUGGUUCAACCUGGCAGCAGACCGGGGAAGCUCCAGGCGGCGUGUCACUGUCAACAUCCCCCCCACUGAACAAACGUAAAUGUGUAUGUGUGAUAGUGUACAUAAGAAUCCUUGUAAAUGGAUGUCUUUUAAUAAAAAGUGUUUCUGAUAUUA